UGACAUCAAAUCAAUUUUAUGUAGACUGUCUUUAUACAGUAAAUAGUUACAUAAAAUAUGCAUGACAAAAAUAUUACAGUUUCAGUAUUUAAUAUCCAAUCUAAAUAUAAGUAUUCAAAAGGAAAUAUUUUUACACCAUUUCAGUAGUCACUUAGCUCAGUAGUCGGUUGUAAUAAUCCUUAAUAUUUUCAGGAACUGGACGGAGCUAUAAGCACAAAAACUCCCAUUAAUGCAUGACAAAGUUGCACUGCAACCCUCUGAAAAGCAAAGAGUUACAUUAGAAGAAAUUCAGACACACAAGUACAUUGAAAUAUAUUGUGUCCUACAGCAGCGUUUGAUAUUCUACUGGUAAGAAACAUGAUGGUAACUUCACAAGGCACUCUGAAUUAAAUGACAGUAACUCCGGUCCACAAGCAUUUUAGAAUCUUGGUGUUGUAUAAAAAACCCCAAACAAACCCCACACCUGCAUUUAUUCAGUAUAAAUUGGUUUAAUCUCUGUCCUAGCCUCAGAGCAGUCAAAUUAUAUUGCACUUAUAAAAUAUUCUGUGUAGGCUGUGAUAAAAAUCUAGUAUUUACAUGCUGUGUUUGUUAGAGAACAAUGCAAUGUAAAAUAUUUUAAGAACCAAGAUUUAACACUUAUUCUUGUAUUAUUAAUAUAACCAGAGGCUACAUUAAAAAAAAAAAAUAUAUUUUAUUAGCUCCUAAUCUAGAAACAUUUUUGGUCCUUCAAAAAACUUGUUGUGCUGCAGUUCAUGUUCACAACUGGUAUCAAUGCUGGCCUGAAACUGCAGUAGUUACACUAUUUAAAUAAAUAAAUACGCAAUUUCCAAAGAAGUAAUAGCUUCGGAGUUCUGUAAACAGGCUGCUGAGGCAAGUCUGCAACAAGACCCAAUUUGGCAUAUUGUGACUUUAAUUGGCAAUAAUUGGCAAUACUUUACAGUUAUACAACCUCUGCCAGGGUAGAAAACAGUUUGGUAGGCACAUCUUAUAUAUCAGUCUGGAAAAAAGACCCCAAAAAUACUGAUUGUUCCUUAGUUGUACGAAUAAAUAAAAUGAUCAAAGAGUAACAUGAUCCACUGAAACCAAAACUGACAUUUAUGUGAUUUGGGGGGUGGGGGGAAGGGAGGAGAAAAUUGUGUCUAUUCUUUAAAUACAACCUAAAGGAAAUGAACAAGCCAUAAAUGAAUAUAUGAUAAGCAUGAAGUACAGGACAGAAAGGUUGGCAGAAUGAGCAUUAUAAAUUUAUAGAAAUACUGAUCUAGACAGAACUGGUGCCUUAGCUGCAUCUCACCAGAAGACAAUCAUCAUUCUUUUUUCAAUCCAAAUUUGAAGAAACUUUCUAAAUCGGUGUUUGGUAAAACAAAUUCAGUGCAACGCAGCAGCUCUGAUGAAAGUUUGCUGACAUCUAGGUUGCCCUACACUCCUGUUAAAACAUGAGUG
rnacentral:lncRNA from 1 species